CUGUGCGUAGGGAAGUUGGCCAUCCCGCGACGCUUGGGACGUCGAGAUCGCUGGUUCGAAUCCAGCCGCGCAGA
rnacentral:tRNA from 1 species